UACCCGCAGCUCAAGUGGUGGUCAUUAUUAUUGGGCCUAAAGCAUCCGUAGCCGGUUCUACAAGUCUUCCGUUAAAUCCACCUGCUUAACAGAUGGGCUGCGGAAGAUACUAUAGAGCUAGGAGGCGGGAGAGGCAAGCGGUACUCGAUGGGUAGGGGUAAAAUCCGUUGAUCCAUUGAAGACCACCAGUGGCGAAGGCGGCUUGCCAGAACGCGCUCGACGGUGAGGGAUGAAAGCUGGGGGAGCAAACCGG
rnacentral:rRNA from 1 species